rnacentral:rRNA from 1 species
UACAGAGGUCCCAAGCGUUGUUCGGAUUCACUGGGCGUAAAGGGUGCGUAGGUGGUAGGGUAAGUCGGAUGUGAAAGCUCGGAGCUCAACUCCGAAAUGGCAUUGGAAACUACCCAACUAGAGGUUCGGAGGGGGGACUGGAAUUCUUGGUGCAGCAGUGAAAUGCGUAGAUAUCAAGAGGAACACCAGUGGCGAAGGCGAGUCCCUGGACGACACCUGACACUGAGGCACGAAAGCUAGGGGAGCAAACAGG